rnacentral:lncRNA from 10 species
AGACACAUGUGGGUUACUGAGUACAUGUGGAUCACCAAGGAGGAACUCCAUGGAGCCUGGGAAGGUCAACAGAAGGGGCCAUAGCGGAGAGAAAAGGCACAAUACUCAGACACCAAGGAAAGGCCACAUGAGCACACAGGAUGAAGGUGGCCGUGAACAAUGUGGGAAGAAGGCCCUUGCCGGACACCUAAUCUACCAGCACCUUUAUCUUGGACUUCCCAGCCUCCAGAACUGUGAGACACAAAUGUCUGUUGUUUAACCCACCUACCCUAGGGUAUUUUGUUAUGGCAGCCCAAGUGAUAGUCAUGAGCUGCUCUGCCUCCGUUUCUGGGUCUGUGAAAUGGUACUAGCAGUGGCUGUCUCUCAAGAUGAUUGUGAGAGUUGAGCCCAGUAUGUCAUCUGUGUCAUGACUUGGAGGGGAAGGUGCAUGGAAUAGAAGCUGGAGCCACUUACUGGUGCUAGAGUCCUGGGCAGCUCCAGUUUGAGACUGAGUUUCUUCAUUUAUAAAAUGAGAACAAUAACCCCUGCUGAUCCUGUCUCUAAAAAUUGUCCCAAGGAAACAAUGAGACAGUACUAGUGACUCAAAUGACAUUUUAUAUUUGUUUAAAAAAAUAAUAAAAACAGAGGCCACAAUUUUGAUAUCCGAAGGCCAACCACUAAUGGCCAUGUAGCCAAAACUUCAGUCAUCGUGAUUUCCCAAAAACACUAGUUUUAAUUAGAAGCAAAACACAAAAUGAGAGCUUUUUAUCCUUGUUGGCAUAAUUCAGUGAAAUUAAACCAAUCACCUAUGGACAAAUGAGCUUAAACUGCUCUAUUUGCCUUCAAAAGAACGUUAAUGUAUAAGAACGAAUCACAAAGAAGUCCAAAAUACUUCCUCCUUUAUGCUUUAUAGGCUGUGCUGUAACUACUGUAAGCCAGGCUUCUUACCACUUUUUGUUCAAAGUCUCCCAGUUCUUAAACUGUUUGUUUGUAUGCAUAACAAACUUUUAAAAAUUUUAACUUGAUUUGAUUUCACUUUUGGCAUAUUAAAUAAAUAUAUAAAUAU